UACGUAGGGCGCAAGCGUUAUCCGGAAUUAUUGGGCGUAAAGAGCUCGUAGGCGGUUUGUCGCGUCUGCCGUGAAAGUCCGGGGCUCAACUUCGGAUCUGCGGUGGGUACGGGCAGACUAGAGUGAUGUAGGGGAGACUGGAAUUCCUGGUGUAGCGGUGAAAUGCGCAGAUAUCAGGAGGAACACCGAUGGCGAAGGCAGGUCUCUGGGCAUUAACUGACGCUGAGGAGCGAAAGCUAGGGGAGCGAACGGG
rnacentral:rRNA from 1 species